UACGAAGGGGGCUAGCGUUGUUCGGAAUUACUGGGCGUAAAGCGUAUGCAGGCGGAUCGUUAAGUCGGGGGUGAAAUCCCGAGGCUCAACCUCGGAACUGCCUUCGAUACUGGCGACCUUCGAGUCCGGGAGAGGUGAGUGGAACUCCGAGUGUAGAGGUGAAAUUCGUAGAUAUUCGGAAGAACACCAGUGGCGAAGGCGGCUCACUGGUCCGGUACUGACGCUGAGGUGCGAAAGCGUGGGGAGCAAACAGG
rnacentral:rRNA from 1 species